AUCCACAGAGCUCACCAUAUUUCAGCAUAUGGAUUCUUAUGUUCAGGGAUAAAGUUAUCUUGAGAGGAGGGGUUUUUUUUUUGUCCUUUAUUCUUUACUUUUUCUUUCUUUAUAGAAAAUAUUUGCUGAUUUCAGAAAAUUGCUUCCUGUGAAUGAAACUCUUCACUUUGGGGUUGAUAUGUUGUGACUUAUGAAAAUUUGAAAUACCUGUUAUGGAUCAGCUCUCACUUAGCAAGGGCUGUAUUUGUCAGGUGAUGAUUGAAGUUGUAAAUCAGUAUUCUUGAAUCUGGAAUUUCCUAUAGUGAAGCAAAUCGCUGCAAACAUCAGCUUUAAGAAUAUAAUAAAAUGAAACAAGCAGUAAUAAUAAUAAAAAAAACCCUUGACAGGCAAAUUUGGUGUUACACAUUGUGCAUUUCUUUUCAGUCUCUCAAACUUUCUGAACACUAUAAUUUGUUUCUGCUGCUGCAUCACCAUCAUCAACGAUAUAGGACUUUAUUAGCUCUUCUCUCUUAGGGAUGUCUUUUUUUUUUUUAAGAGAAAAGAAUGCAUAAAAGUUCUUCCACUUGAAUCUGUGUGUAAUCACUCUUCCUAGCCAAAGUCAUAUAUUUGUUUACUAAUACUUUGUCAUCUCAGUAUUCACUCUUUGGUUAUCUUUCCUAGUCUGUGUCUUUUCUCCUGAAUUGUAGAUGAGGGGAACGAAAGGCGCAGGUAGAUAAGAGCGGCGGGGUCCAUGGGUUCCCAUGGCACCACGUUUAGAAGUUCCUGAAAGUCAGACUGUGCUGGGAAGGCAGGGAGGUGAUCCUGGCCUCACUAUGAAAGUACCUGAACCCACUGUGUGGAACCAUCAGCCAGGGGGCUGCCUUGUGCCCAGAAAAGGGCCUGAAAUGUGCUCACUGGCUUUCCUUGAAGGCUGUGAAACAGAAGAAGCAAGAAAUGAAUUAGCAGGAGAAUUUGAGAGUUGAGAUGAAGGAAGACGGUUUCACUUUGAAGACCUCUAGAGCG
rnacentral:lncRNA from 1 species